UACGGGGGGGGCAAGCGUUGUUCGGAAUUACUGGGCGUAAAGGGCUCGUAGGCGGCCAACUAAGUCAGACGUGAAAUCCCUCGGCUUAACCGGGGAACUGCGUCUGAUACUGGAUGGCUUGAGUGUGGGAGAGGGAUGCGGAAGUUCCAGGUGUAGCGGUGAAAUGCGUAGAUAUGCGGAGGAACACCGAUGGCGAAGGCGGGUCUCUGGGCCGAUACUGACGCUGAGGAGCGAAAGCGUGGGGAGCGAACAGG
rnacentral:rRNA from 1 species